rnacentral:rRNA from 1 species
UACGUAGGGUGCGAGCGUUGUCCGGAAUUAUUGGGCGUAAAGAGCUCGUAGGCGGUGUGUCACGUCGGCCGUGAAAACCUGCAGCUUAACUGUGGGCGUGCGGUCGAUACGGGCAUCACUGGAGUUCGGCAGGGGAGACUGGAAUUCCUGGUGUAGCGGUGAAAUGCGCAGAUAUCGGGAGGAACACCAGUGGCGAAGGCGGCUUUCUGGCCCAAUACUGACACUCAUACACGAAAGCGUGGGGAUCAAACAGG